UACGAAGGGGGCUAGCGUUGCUCGGAAUUACUGGGCGUAAAGGGAGCGUAGGCGGGUCGUCAAGUUGGGGGUGAAAGCCCAGGGCUCAACCUUGGAAUUGCCUUCAAAACUGACGAUCUAGAGUAUGGAAGAGGUAAGUGGAACUCCGAGUGUAGAGGUGAAAUUCGUAGAUAUUCGGAAGAACACCAGUGGCGAAGGCGACUUACUGGUCCAUGACUGACGCUGAGGCUCGGAAAGCGUGGGGAGCAAACAGGG
rnacentral:rRNA from 1 species